UACAGAGGUCUCAACCGUUGUUCGGAUUCAUUGGGCGUAAAGGGCGCGUAGGCGGCCCGCUAAGUCGAACGUGAAAUCCCUGGGCUCAACCCAGGAACUGCGUCCGAUACUGGCAGGCUUGAAUCCGGGAGAGGGAUGCGGAAUUCCAGGUGUAGCGGUGAAAUGCGUAGAUAUCUGGAGGAACACCGGUGGCGAAGGCGGCAUCCUGGACCGGUAUUGACGCUGAGGCGCGAAAGCCAGGGGAGCAAACGGG
rnacentral:rRNA from 1 species